ensembl:lncRNA
GUUAACCUUAUGAUAUUAUAUAUGCAAAGAUUAAGCGAGGCUGCGACCAGAUAUUGAUGCCACUAAAUGUGUUCACGUGUUUAACUUGGAUCAAUAGAGAAAGUAGAAGCCUGACCGGCUAACUUCAACUGUCCAUACCGAUGACAGGAGUGAGAAAUGUCUCUGAGGCAUCAAGGACAAGAGGAGGAGAUAACUGCCGCGUGCAGGGCUGUUGGAUGCGUGCCAAGGGUUCUGCUUUUGAAGCCACCGUGCCAUUUGCACAGUGUCUCCGGGGACUGGUGGAAGACGCCAAAUGAACCACAACACGCCAGGCUGGGUGGGGAUCAUUUUCCUCAUGACUGUACAGCUUUGCGGAGCACAUUUCCACACACCACGAGCAAAGGCAUCCUCUGCGGUGUUCAGAUGGAAGUGUGUUUGUGAGAUGAUCUUUUUAGCUCGAGCUCAUAAAAGUCCGUCCUCAGAGAAGUCCAAAUGAACCAAAGACAAUUUUACCUCAUCAUUUUGACAAAGCAUGAAGAAACGCUGUGUUAACACGAGUAUUAGUCUCACUAUUUGUACACUCACUUCCUCUGCGGCUCAUUCGGUCUGCUGUGCCGCACCUCCGCCUGGAGGGAAACCACAGUGGAAGGCUGCGUUGGCUCCUCCUCAGUAAAAGCUGCCCUCCAGAAUGGUAAACCUCCCUCCGCUGCGCUCCAUCCCCCCACCGGGCCUCACCUGCCGGCGCACGCAGCCAAACACGGACCGGGAUAGCGAGGACUUGCCAG